GACGAACGCUGGCGGCGUGCCUAACACAUGCAAGUCGAGCGGUAAGGCCCUUUCGGGGGUACACGAGCGGCGAACGGGUGAGUAACACGUGGGUGACCUGCCCUCAGCUCUGGGAUAAGCCCGGGAAACUGGGUCUAAUACCGGAUAUGACUUCAUGACGCAUGUUGUGGAGUGGAAAGCCUUGUGCGGCUGAGGAUGGGCCCGCGGCCUAUCAGCUUGUUGGUGGGGGGAUGGCCUACC
rnacentral:rRNA from 1 species